GGGGGAGGAAGCACAUGAAAAAGAGUACAGAUUCUGUAAUUUUUACAAACUGAAAAUAUACUUACAAAUUAUAUUAUUAAAAAUACUAGAUAUCCAACACAUUUAUCUUUUAUGGGUAUAUGUUACUGAUUAUAAAAUCUAUAUGCUCCAUCCGAAGUAUAUCUAGUUGAUUUAUAUAAUCGUAUGCAUAUAUUUAUAUCAGGUAUAUAUAUCUUACCUGUUCAUAUGACUGAUAUAAGACAUUAUUAAACAGGCCACAUAUUAAUCAGACCAGAUAUUGGCAUAAAUAUUGAUACAGACAUGGUUAACAUCCAACCCUUUUACAGAUGUAAUUAUUAAUGACCGAUAUCUUCUCAGAUCCAAGAGGAAGAAGACGCUUAUUGUCAAUCCCAGAUUUGUCAUUCAGAGCCUUUGGUUUAGAAAGAAUGUUGUGGCAUUUGACAUCUAAAUAGCACAUUUUUCCAUCUCAAUAGGUGGCUUGAAUUAGGGCAUCCAUUUGUAAGAGUUCAACACUUACAAUUAAAGCAACCUUUUUCCCAUAUUUUAUUAUAUAUAAGGUAUCUGUUCUAUAGGACCUUGUAAAGAAUGUGAAGGCCAAUAUUUUAACCCCAGGUUUUCUCUUCUUAUUUAUUAAAAAGAGAAGAACUUGAAGAGGUCCUAAAUUUCAAUGUCAAAAGAAAAUGGAAACAAAGUUGCUGGUGGUAAACUUGUAUGUUAAUUAGCAGGAAGAUGUAAAGUCUACUUACUUCUGCAAUCUCACUACAUGUAACAGAAAAUUCACACUGAAAAGGUAAGGGGUGAGUAUAAAGUAUCAAAAGACAUUUAACUUACUUGUUGGUUCUUAUGGGAAAGGAUUUGAGAAUCAUUCUUAGAUGUUUGAAAAUUUAUCAAAGGGUGACAGAGUGAGGCUCGGGGAAGAUUUAUAGUUUAGCCUUUCCGUGUCUUUAAGUGGAGAAAUGUUAGACAAUUUAGACGGAAGAAGCCUAGAAGUAGGAAGGAGCCAGACAACCAAGGUUUUGCAAUUUAGGAGGAAUGUGAAUGAGAAAAAUCAACUCAUUUGCUAAUCUCAUGUAUAUGGGGGAGACCUUCUCACAGACCAUUCCAUGGUGUCAUAGACAAUGGCUCUGGUAAUGAGCUCCAUGUGUAUGACAAUUGCUUUGUCUUUCUAGAUGGCUUCUUUGGAGAAAAUUACUGUGGCCCACCUUUGCAUCAUCAGUCUUUAUUAUGUGAAGACACUGACUGUUACUUGAUCUAAAUCAUGACUAUUCUUCGUAAGUGAGAUUUAGAAACACUUUCUAUGGAUUUUUAGGAUCUGGAACUACCUAAAUGACUUUCUUGGAUCUAAUAUUAGGGAGGAGUAAUAGCAGCCAGCUUUGGGAACAGAUCCAAAUCUUCUGAAGUAUCAAAUGUUGUUCCAAGGUUUAAGAAGUUCCUCAUGCACAAUCCUUCAAAAGGAUAGACAUGAAAUGUAAACAGAGCACAUGAAGAAGGUAAAAGAGUAAUUCAAAAUUGUAUCAGAGUUCACUCAAGUCCAUUCAUAUUUUAAAUUGAAAUGUUUCUUUUGGAACUUUAGGAUAGACUUUUCUAGAUCUUCAUAUAUUUCCAAGGAGAAAGCAAAGAUAACACUAUAAAGUCUUUGCUUCUAUAAACUCUGGGUUGUUUCUUCAUGCGCAAAAUUAGUUUCUCAAGACUCAGCUGUAAGUAAAACUUAGACAAAGCCUGGAUGAACUUUUGAUUCAUGAAAUGUCUUUUUGUUCUAGUUCAAGACCUCCCCGUUAUUCUGAACUUCGAAUAUGAAGUGAGGUUGUCUUAAGAUUAACAGUCCAUGAGAAAUACCAUUUUUGCAAGUUCUUAUGGCUGAUUUGUCUCUUUGAAUCACCACAGGCAGUGGAUCAUCCAUACCUUGUGGUUCAUUACCAAACUGCUGCACUAAAUAAUGGGAGCACAAGCCAUCCUGAUAAUGGUGAACAAGUUUGGGCAUUUGCCUUGGGGCAGCAGAAGAUCCUGUGGUUACCUCUUGCCACCAUGUCUUCUGUAAGGGUUGUUUGAUAAGACUACUUUGCAGCAAUGGGAGAAGCCUCAUGCCCCUCAUGUAUUAAUAUGCUUACUGAUGACUUCACACCAAAUUUUAGUCCAAUGGUGAAGGGGACUAAACGUUCUAGUAUUCUGGGCAGAAUUUGUCUCGAAGAUUUUCAGGCUAGCACAAAAAUUGAAGCCUUGGUAUGGAGACGCUGAGUAGAUUCCCCUACCCCCUCUCUUUGCUAUUUUAAUUGACAAAA